rnacentral:tRNA from 1 species
GCUGUUGUAGCUCAGAUGGUAGAGUACAUCCUUGGUAAGGAUGAGGUCGGCGGUUCAAGCCCGCUCAACAGCUCCA